rnacentral:rRNA from 1 species
UACGUAGGGGGCAAGCGUUGUCCGGAUUUAUUGGGCGUAAAGGGCGCGUAGGCGGUUUCUUAAGUUUGAAGUGACAGUGGGUGGCUUAACUACCCAAGGCCUUUGAAAACUGGGGAACUUGAGGACCAGAGAGGGACAUAGAAUUCCGGGUGGAGUGGUGAAAUGCGUAGAUAUCCGGAGGAAUACCAAAGGCGAAGGCAGUGUCCUGGAGGGUUAACCGACGCUGAGGCGCGAAAGCUAGGGGAGCGAACAGG